UGUGUAUGGACUCAGCAGUUUGUGCGUAUAAACUCAGCAGUGUGUGUGUAUAAACUCAGCAGUCUGUCUGUGUGUAUGGACUCGGCAGUCUGUCUGUGUGUAUGGACUCAGCACUGUGUGUGUAUAGACUCAGCAGUCUGUCUGUGUGUAUGGACUUAGCAGUCUGUAUGUGUGUAAGGACUCAGCAGUCUGUAUGUGUGUAUGAACUCAGCAGUCUGUGUGUGUAUGGACUCAGCAGUCUGUGUGUAUGGACUCAGCAGUCUGUGUUUGUGUGUAUGUGUGUAUGGACUCAGCAGUCUGUGUGUAUGGACUCAGCAGUCUGUGUUUGUGUGUGUAUGUGUGUAUGGACUCAGCAGUCUGUGUGUGUGUUUGUGUGUGUGUGGACUCAGCAGUCUGUGUGUGUGUGUGUGUGGACUCAGCAGUCUCUGUGUGUUUGUGUGUGUAUGGACUCAGCAGUCUCUGUGUGUUUGUGUGUGUAUGGACUCAGCAGUCUCUGUGUGUUUGUGUGUGUAUGGACUCAGCAGUCUCUGUGUGUGUUGACUCAACAGUCUGUGUGUGUGUAUGGAUUCAGCAGUCUGUAUGUGUGUGUGUGUGUGUGUGUAUGGACUCAGCAGUCUGUCUGUGUGUAUGGACUCAGCAGUCUGUGUGUUUGUGUGUGUGUGGACUCAGCAGUCUGUGUGUGUGUGUGUGUAUGGACUCAGCAGUGUGUGUGUAUGGACUCAGCAGUCUGUGUGUAUGUGUAUUGACUCAGCAGUCUGUGUCUGUGUUUGUAUGGACUCAGCAGUCUGUGUGUGUAUUUAUAUGGACUCAGCAGUCUGUGUGUG